rnacentral:lncRNA from 1 species
UCAUCCUUAAGGGACUGACUAACUCAACUUCCUUCAAAUUCUACUCAAGGGAACUUGUUUGGGGGCUAAAGUUUUGGGGACAGUCUCCUUUUUGUUUCCUUGUUUACUUUUCCCCAAGAGCGGAAUAUGACCAGGCUGGAUUCAGGUCAUUUUCUAGUCUUUCUCUUAUUUUCAGCAGAGUAGCAAGAGUCAACCCCACUGGACUCAUGUGGUUGAUGAUUCUUCAGGCCUUGAUGUCCCCAAGGUUUAGCCCUGUAAUACUCACCAGAAUGGUGCUCGCUUAUUAAUAACCUGCUAUGGCAGGGUGGGACCUGGAUGAGGCAGGCAGAGACUGGAGGGUGGUGCGGCCCCAAGGACACAGAAGGUGAAGGAAAGAGCAAAAGGUGGAGGAAGCUAUAAACCAUGGAGGCAAGAAUCUCAAAGUUCCCCUUUCAGUCCUAAGAAGAAGCUGGAGGAACUGUCAACAACAGAAGAUUUUAAUGACAAAUACUCAAAGAGAAACGUGUAUGCCAACGUUCAUUACAGCAUUAUUCGCAAUAGCCAAAAGGUGGAAACAGCCCAAGUGCCCACUGAUGGAUGGAUAAAAAAAUAUGAUGUAUAAACAUACAACAGAAUGUUAUUCAGCCUUAAAAAGGAAGGAAAUUCUGACACACGCUACAACAUGGAGGAUCCUGGAGGACAUUAUGCUAAGUGAAAUGAGCCAGUCACAAAAAAACAAAUACGAUGAGAAGCAUGAAGCUCAGAGACUAAGUGGGAGGCCCAACAGACCAAGGGACAGCCCAGGCAGUGUCACUCCAGAAACAGAGUGCUUAGUCUCUGCUUAUAUGACCCUCUUGUUUUUUUGUUUUUUUUAGGAAGAUUAGCCCUGAGCUAACAUCUGCUGCCAAUCUUCCUCUUUUUUGCUGAGGAAGACUGGCCCUGAGUUAACAUCCGUGCCCAUCUGCCUCUACUUUAUAUGUGGGACACCUACCACAGCAUGGCUUGCCAAGCGGUGCCACAUCCGCACCUGGGAUCUGAACCUGUGAACCCUGGGCCGCCCAAGUGGAACGUGCACACUUAACUGCUGCGCCACAGGGCUGGCCCCCCUCUUAUUCUUCAUUCUUGCCCAUCUUCACUCCCCAGUGGCCAGAACCACACCCAACAGC